AUUGAACGCUGGCGGCAUGCUUUACACAUGCAAGUCGAACGGCAGCGCGGGCUUCUGCCUGGCGGCGAGUGGCGAACGGGUGAGUAAUGCAUCGGAACGUGCCCAGUAGUUGGGGAUAGCCCGGCGAAAGCCGGAUUAAUACCGCAUACGACCUGAUGUUGAAAGCGGGGGACCGAAAGGCCUCGCGCUAUUGGAGCGGCCGAUGUCGGAUUAGCUAGUUGGUGGGGUAAAGGCUUACCAAGGCGACGAUCCGUAGCUGGUCUGAGAGGACGACCAGCCACACUGGAACUGAGACACGGCCCAGACUCCUACGGGAGGCAGCAGUGGGGAAUCUUGGACAAUGGGGGAAACCCUGACCCAGCCAUGCCGCGUGAGGGAAGAAGGCCUUCGGGUUGUAAAACGCUUUUGUUAGGGAAGAAAUCCUCUGGGCGAAUACCCCGGGGGGAUGACGGUACCGGAAGAAUAAGCAACGGCUAACUACGUG
rnacentral:rRNA from 1 species